GUGUGCCGGGAGAUGGCCACUGAGACAAGGACCCAGGCCCUACGGGGCGCAGCAGUCGCGAAAACUCCGCAAUGCACGAAAGUGUGACGGGGCUACCCCGAGUGCUCUCCGCUGAGGAAAGCUUUUCUCUGGUGUAACAAGCCAGGGGAAUAAGGAGAGGGCAAGACUGGUGUCAGCCGCCGCGGUAAUACCAGCUCUCCGAGUGGUAGGGAUGUUUAUUGGGCCUAAAGCAUCCGUAGCUGGCCAAGUUAGUCCUCUGUUAAAUCCACCGAAUUAAUCGUUGGAGUGCGGGGGAUACUGCUCGGCUAGGGGACGAGAGAGGCCGACGGUAUUUUCGGGGUAGGGGUGAAAUCCUAUAAUCCCGGGAAGACCACCAGUGGCGAAGGCUGUCGGCUAGAACGUGCUCGACGGUGAGGGAUGAAAGCUGGGGGAGCGAACCGGAUUAGAUACCCGGGUAGUCCCAGCUGUAAACGAUGCAGGCUAGGUGUUU
rnacentral:rRNA from 1 species